AGCGAACGCUGGCGGCAGGCCUAACACAUGCAAGUCGAACGGAUCCUUCGGGAUUAGUGGCGGACGGGUGAGUAACACGUGGGAACGUGCCCUUUGGUUCGGAACAACUCAGGGAAACUUGAGCUAAUACCGGAUGUGCCCUUCGGGGGAAAGAUUUAUCGCCAUUGGAGCGGCCCGCGUCUGAUUAGCUAGUUGGUGAGGUAAAGGCUCACCAAGGCGACCAUCAGUCGCUGGUCUGAGAGGAGCAUCAGCCACAUUGGGGCUUAGACACGGCCCCAACUCCUACGGGAGGCAGCAUUGGGGAAUCUUGCGAAAAGGUCGAAAGCCUGACGCAGCCAUGCCGCGAGGAUGAUGAAGGUCUUAGGAUUGUAAAAUUCUUUCACCAGGGACGUUAAAGACGGUACCCGGAGAAGAAGCCCCGGCCCACUUCGUGCCAGCCGCCGCCGUAACAC
rnacentral:rRNA from 1 species